GAGGGGAGGCGGGAUCCUGGGCUGUGUCCCCAGCGCCCUGUGCUCCCGGCCUGCGCUGUUGGAUUCGUGCUCCCGGUGGUGCAGCCCCCU
rnacentral:pre_miRNA from 1 species